UGGCAAGUUUUGGAUGAUUAG
rnacentral:piRNA from 1 species